rnacentral:lncRNA from 1 species
GUGCUGGAUUAUCUGCCACAAUUUCUUCGUAAGUUUACUUGGUUUAAAUCCCUUGUCGUAGAUUUCGAUUAUUCCGCUUCCGGGGGCAACAACAAUAACCUCAAUUUCACCAAGCAGCCAGCCCUAAAGUGCACGUUUGACACAAAUUAACAACUAACCCACGGUACUAUUGGUACCCUUAUAUUGAUGAUGAUGAUGAUGAUGAUGAUUUUCGCAUUUCUGGGUGGUCUCGUCCUCGGGUUUCUCUAGGUCCGGUUGAGCUUAUGGGUCUGGGUCACGUCAGCCUCCGGGCAGGUAUCGGGCCGACCAGUUUAAUUGUACUUGGUGGUAGAUGAUGAUGAUUUUGAAGGAGUUCAGGGAAAUUUUUUUUCCCCCUUCUAGUAGAAAUUUGCAAUUACAAAUUGGUGGUGCAAGUUAUAACAACUGGGAAAAGCAGAUGGUUUUAGGCUUCGAGGAGUUUGAAGGUUGAGGUGUUGGGUUGCUUCGGUUGGUGAAGGGUUGAAGCAAAUACUGGAUUCCGUUAGUGGAAUCUUUUGCCGGGUGUCACCGGAUUAACAAAGGUUGGUGUUGAUUUUGCUUCAGUUUUUCUACUCCAGAUGGUUCAGUUCAGGAGAAAGAAGAAAAAGGAAGAACAAGGAA